UAGUUCCAGAAUACUGGUUCCCUGUCAUUCUGUGUAGCUGAUCCAGUACACGGGCUGUUAUACUGUAAGGUAGUGCUUGACUUGGAUGAGACUUUAGUUUCUGCAUAUGAAUCAUCUAG